CCUACGGGGCGCAGCAGUGAGGAAUAUUGGUCAAUGGACGAGAGUCUGAACCAGCCAAGUAGCGUGAAGGAUGACUGCCCUAUGGGUUGUAAACUUCUUUUAUAUGGGAAUAAAACGUUCCACGUGUGGGAUUUUGUAUGUACCAUAUGAAUAAGGAUCGGCUAACUCCGUGCCAGCAGCCGCGGUAAUACGGAGGAUCCGAGCGUUAUCCGGAUUUAUUGGGUUUAAAGGGUGCGUAGGUGGAUUGUUAAGUCAGUUGUGAAAGUUUGCGGCUCAACCGUAAAAUUGCAGUUGAAACUGGCAGUCUUGAGUACAGUAGAGGUGGGCGGAAUUCGUGGUGUAGCGGUGAAAUGCUUAGAUAUCACGAAGAACUCCGAUUGCGAAGGCAGUUCACUGGACUGCAACUGACACUGAGGCUCGAAAGUGUGGGUAUCAAACAGGAUUAGAUACCCCUGUAGUC
rnacentral:rRNA from 1 species